CUCCUACAAGAAGGGAAGACAUUGUAGGCUGCUUACAUUGAAUGAAACAUAGGACUAGAUGUAACACACAACACACCUGUUGUAACCUUUCUGUAAGUCUGUAGUCUGGACACAUGAAAUAAGCACCCCUAAGAAGAUCAACCUAUUUCUACAGUUGAUUCCGACAUGUAUGCUCCAGUUUAAUUUUCAUAACUUCCCACUCUGAAAUGUUGAAGCAACUAUGACGCUCGGCUCAAGUUCCGCUGUUUUUAUAGUUUGUUUGUGUUUUGUUUCUAAAGCAACCAAUAUUAUAAAUACUGACUUAUUUAGUCUGUAAGGCAUCGUUGAGGGCUUCUAAUACGCUAACGUCUUUCUGUUUAGUUGAGCUACUUCGGUUUGUUGCAGGCGAGUGUCUUUGCUUUCGUCUUUUCUGAUAAAACACUGAAUCUUUCUCCAAGAUGAGACACAAGUGUGACUGAGUGGGAAGCUUUUUUGCUUUAAGCAAUGGCAGGUAGCUUAACUAUCCCGUUAACUUUACCGCAGUGGGACGGGGGCUCACGCAAAAUUCGCUUUAUCCAUUUGGUGGAUCAGACAUCGUUCAGGCUGACAGACUGUCCCAACAAGAGUUCAGUGGUUCCUCUCUUUUUAGGAGCUGAUCUCUUCUCCAAUACCGACAUCCGUACAGAGAACCAUCCCAGACAUCACGCAAAGUUUGCCAAGAAAGGACUGGCAACAAAAAUACAUUUUUCCUCAGAAUUUAGGUUCCAUGGGUUGAAGGUACCUACUGUCAGUAACAGCCUCUGGUUCUACAGUGUUCAAGGACUUUUUCGAAUAGCCUUUGAAAUGUACAGUAAGCAAGAGCAGCUUGCUGUGCUUGAGAACUUCCAGGAUGUUUGGAAAUCACAGAUAAAUGGCAGCCCUCUGAAGACGAGUUACAGCCUCAGUGUGCAGCUUGACUUUGCUAUACCCAGCAGCUUGCAUGACACAGAAGCAAGCAACGAAACCCCAUCACAACCUCUGCAUUGCCAGGCUGGCAGAGAAUCGGUGGAUGUAUAUGGCAGUGACAGAUCAGCAGAUCAUGACUAUUGUUCUUUUUCUAAGCAGAGCUUGCAUAGUGAGAACCACCAACUGGUGGUAUCCAAAGUAAGACAGAAAUUGCAAAGCUUGGAUGACAAACUCUCUUCUGUGACUCUCAGCUCCUCAGGACUUGAGACUGUAUUGCUACUUUUGGAGAACGUUGAUCGGUGCAUAAAUGGGAAUCUAGAAGAAAAGGAUGUGACAGAAGCUGUACUAGCCCUGCUAAAGGCCAAAGACUGGGGCUGUGUGUAUUCCAGUAACCUGCUUAGCUGUGUAGGACGUUGGCUCGGCCAGCAGUUUCAUGCAGCCAACAGCAGCAUCAGCCGGAGGGUGGAGGGCUUCAAAGUUCAUCAUAUUGAGAGAAUUAGUGACUUGCCACCUGCUGAGGAACUAGCCACAGAGCUGUUCCCAGAAGCAAUGCAAACACUGCUGCUUCAUUGGAUGGGUUUAAGUGAAGAGUCCACCCUGGAGAAGAGACACAGCGAGUUCCCAAUCCUGCUCCUUAUCCUUGAGUUUGCCAACCACAACCUUAUCACUGGUGUGGCUCAUGUACUAUACUCAAGUCUUAUAUGUAAAUAA
rnacentral:lncRNA from 1 species